rnacentral:lncRNA from 1 species
UCCCAGUGAGCCGAUAGAACAAAUGUCCUAGAAACUGCCCCCUGACAAGUAUCCCACCCAACCCAGGCCGCGAUGGCUCAGGCAGUGGGGGGAUUUUGCAGACAGCAUCCUCCUCUUUGCUCCUCUCCCCCACCCCACCCAACCCUGCCGUGUAAACACGAGGACUUUCUCGAGAGCCUUGGAGAGCCGCUCUAGUGGCUUCGGGGCCUGAAACCCCAGGCUUGGCUUGUUUGAUGUUUAGCAUCCCAAAGCGGCUCCCCACCCCCGCCCCAGCCUGGGAACCCCGAGCUCUGGGGCCGAAGAGAAGGGGAAGCAGUUCUCUCAGCUGGAGGGCGGUGGAUUGGCUGGGCUUAGAGAAGUGGCGAAAGCUACAGGACAGAGGCGCCCUGAGUGGGAGAGAAAGGGAUCCCGGGAUGGUGCGGCCAUCCACUAGGAUAGAGCUGGGGUCCUAAAGGCCAAGAGGCAGACGAGGAAAGAAAUGUCACAGUUUGUGGGAAUACACUGGAGAUAGGGCCUAGCCAGGUGGAGAUAGCUUGGAGCCCGCGAAAACAAGGUAAGCGGUGUCUGGGUCCAGUUAGCGAGACCGGCGUUCAGGUCUGCGGGGCUAUCAGGGCCUCGAGGAGACAACGCUUCGUGCCACUGCUUAGUGCUUGGCCUUUCGUAGGGAUGGACUUGCUUGAGAGUCUUCCAAGAGAUUUUUAAGUGCUCUGGACUGGGAGCUCCAUUGGCGAUGUUUGGAUCUGGUUUUGAUUUUGAAAGCCCAGGAAGAUUCGCAGACUUUCGAGGCCGCACACUCUUCGGGCUGCCCGGAAUCUGGGCAGCGAUGAGGACUGAGAAGCUGUCUCAAGACCUGAGUCUCUUCUCAGGCGAUCCCAGAUAAGAGGAAGGAGAGAGAGGUUUUCUGACUUCCAACUCAUUAGGGACCAGCACUCUUGGAGCUUCAUGGGGUUUGUACAAAACAUUGCAGCAGAACCAUUACUAUGCCUCAGAGACAUGCAGGGGCCCCGGGGCAAAUCAAAAAAAGUGUUUUUGACUGCACAACAUGUGUGAAGUUGAUGAAAAUUCAUGACAUCUCUAUCAGGGCUGUUUCAGCUUACGUCAUCAGAAAGAUUUAUUCCCCAGCACAGCAAGAGGAUGCGCCUGUGACCCUUUUCAAACUUACUCUCCACUCGGCUUAUGGAGACCAUCAGCUGCAGGACAAAUAUUUUAGUUUGGAUAUGCAUGUCACAAUUAAUAAUAAAAAGAUACAGGACCAAGGCAGACUGAAUGGCUCCAAUUAUCAGAAUGUGAAAGCAUGA